GGUGUGGCUCAGCGGUAGAGUGCUUACCUCGUAUGUGUGAGGUGCUGGGUUCGAUCCUCAGCACCA
rnacentral:tRNA from 1 species